GACGAACGCUGGCGGCGUGCCUAACACAUGCAAGUCGAGCGAACAGACGAGGAGCUUGCUCCCCUGACGUUAGCGGCGGAAGGGUGAGUAACACGUGGAUAACCUACCUACAAGACUGGGAUAACUUCGGGAAACCGGAGCUAAUACCGGAUAAUAUAUCGAACCGCAUGGUUCAAUAGUGAAAGACGGUUUUGCUGUCACUUAUAGAUGGAUCCGCGCCGCAUUAGCUAGUUGGUAAGGUAACGGCUUACCAAGGCAACGAUGCGUAGCCGACCUGAGAGGGUGAUCGGCCACACUGGAACGAGAACACGGUCCAGACUCCUACGGGAGGCAGCAGUAGGGAAUCUUCCGCAAUGGGCGAAGGCCUGACGGAGCAACGCCGCGUGAGUGAUGAAGGUCUUCGGUUCGUAAAACUCUGUUAUUAGGGAGGAACGAAUGUGUAAGUAACUAUGCACGUCUUGACGGUACCUGAUCAGAAAGCCACGGCUAACUACGUG
rnacentral:rRNA from 1 species